AGCGGUUAACCGAUAGACGUCGUUGUUAGCAGCGGAGUUUGGAAAGUGAAAGAUGGCCGAGGAAGUGAGGUGUGUUGAGUUAAAGAGGAGUGACUCGUUUGGUUUUGGAUUUUCUGUAUUUGGAGGUUCAGGUUCUGAUUUUCCUCCGGUUGUCUACGAUGUUGUGGAAAACUCUCCGGCCGCUAUCAGUGGACAGGUAGGUGAAAGCGUGUCAAACGAUCUGUCGUUACUAACAGUUGGCAAAUGUUUUCCACUUCCGUCAAUUAAUCAAAUUUUAAGUUUUUAAUCAUGUCCUUUAGUUAGCUUGGAUCAAUUAUGAUAAUUCUUCACUUCUUAAAUUGUUAUCAUCGAUGAAUCGAAAAUUUGAUUGGCUUUGUUCUUAAAGUUGUUUCUGAUUAGCAUAAUCUUUCUUUAAUUAUUAAUAAUAUAUAUUUAAAAUUGAUUUUAAUUUUAAAACAGGCUCUUAUUAUCAGCUGAUUCGUAAAUGACUCAUAUAGAUCAUCUUUUUCCAUAAAAACAUUAAAACGAGUUUAACUCCUAUCAUACUUAAAC
rnacentral:lncRNA from 1 species